GUGCCGGGGGCCCCGCUGGCGCCCCCAGCCUCUGCCAACUCAGGGUAGGAGAGCGCGACGGAGCGCCGCCUGAUUCUUCUGGCUCAGGGAAGCAGAGGAGACAUGUGAGAGCCAGAGGAGGGACGAGCGGCCCAGAGUUAUCCUUUGAGCGCCGGGUCCGGGCCGCAGAGUUCAGGCAAGGGGAAAGUCCAGAGGGCAAAGCCAGGAGAGGACUGGAAGUUCAGGGCGUGGGCUCAAGCUGCCUCCCUCCCGGUGGGCCCUGGUCGUCCCCAGAAGGAGCUGUGUGAACAGGCAAGGACAGGACCAACAACCACACUCCUGCCCGCCCAGCCUGGACCCCACACCUUAGGUUCUUCUGGUCCUGCCUGAAGAACCAUUUCCUGAGCUUUGGUGUGUGUACGCAAACGCGGAAAGAAACUGUAAGAGCAAAAGGAAGGAAAUCUGGCUGGGCUGAGAACCAGUUUCCAGGACCACAACCUUCCAGCGAGACACACCAAGCCCUAGUGGACCUUGCUCCCUAGUUAUCCCCGCAGGCAGACUGUGGAGGAGGAGCAAAGAUGCUGAAGAAAGAAGUAUCCAACCGUUUCUGCCAGGCAUGUGCUAGGCUCAGGGGCAGCGAGGCGAGGAGGACUGUGGCCCUCUCCUCUGCCUGCAGACAGAGCCCACACUGUAAAUAGAGGCACUCCCCAGAGCCAGACAGCUGCACGAACUCAGGGAGGAAGAAGAAAAAACUGAUUUCACAGAGGUGCCACGAGGUAAGAAGCCAUUCUUCCUGGAGUGAUCGUGUGUGCUUCCAGCUUCCUCAGCCUCAACCCUACUCUUAUCAGACUCCAAGAUCAAUCUUGGCUGCAAACUUUGCUGGUGAGCAGGGAGAAGCCGCCAGCGAUGGACAGCUCCACCUUUUCUCAUGGCUCAGCCUGUGGAGAAGGACUUUGCUCUCUCAGACACGAAGAGAAAAGAGAACUUCAGGACAAGAGGAGGGGACAGUGGUCAGAAGCGCCAGCUAGUAAAGAAAGCUGAGAAGCAAGAGAAGGCCACUCGAUGGGGUGGCCUCCAGCCCAGUGUCCGGACAGGAUCCCAGGAUCCAGAGCACCUGCCAGUCCUGAGGAGGGAUCCAGGCGGGCAGGGGCAGAGCUGAGGUGUCUGGGCCAGACUAGGUCACCAGAACAUGGUGCCCAGGGAAUAUCAUCAUUGCCAAAGUCAGCUUACCUCCUCGCUGCCAGAGACCUGCCACUUGCUACAUGUUUGGUGGAGAAGUGAAAGCUGGGCCACCUCCUCGAAGGAAGAAAGAGGCGACACCAUCUCUUCUCUCAAGGAGUUUACAAUUUUGCUGGAUAGGCAAUAUGAUCCUAUUUUAUAGAUGAAGAAACUUGAUGAAGUGUUGAGAUGUCCAUGUCGUGGAGGGAACCGGCUGUCUUAAGUUUUUUUUUUCAUUCUGCUGCGGUCUUAGUUCCUGUUCUCCAUGAAAUAGGUCAUCUCUUCAAAGAUCCCCAGCUUGGUCCUCCUAAUCCCUACCCACCUUCUUCCUUCACAUCUGGGCUCCCACUUUCUUCUCUCAUUCCACUUCAGCUUCCCAGCCCAACUCUGUCCUUACGCCCAGUGCUCCAUCUAAUCCAAAAAGGAAACCAGUGUCACUCUGUUCUGCCUGAGAAGCCCAAUAAUGGUCACCCACUUAUUCAAUAAGCACUGUGUGUGCCAGGAAACGAGCAAGAUCUGACCGGACGGACGCCCUCGAACCUUUUCAGUCUGUUGGUUAUUUGCCCAUUGACCUCUAGGGCUUUAGACUCAAGAGAUCAGCCUGAAGGAACCGAGGUCUGGGAAGAGGUAUCCAGAACCAGAAGUUAAGUACCUCAGGAGCACUUUAGUACCUUAGCACUCUUCUGCUCUGCUACUGGUACCUCGUGUUACAUCUGAAGAUGAGGGCUCAUCCCACACCUGGGUCUCUCCCCUCACAACUUGCUGUCUGCAGCUCAGGCACAGAGAGCAGACCUCUCUCUCACCCUCACCCCUGCGACUACAAGCCCCUUCUCAGACUUCGAAGAUCCUGCAGGUCCAAAAGUACAUCUAGGAAUUCAGAGGCCAGAUUUCUCUGCAAGCACAGUGGUCUCAGCCCUGAUCCCUCCCACUCCUCCCCCGAUGGUGCCCAGUUCCUGUCUGUUCCAGCCUCUGACUCCCUUAUUCCCUUUCAAGCCUCAAUUUCAAGUUCACAUUCUUCCCAGCUCUAAGUCUUCCUCUUGUUUCAGGGCUUCCCACCACCUCUCCACCUUCUCAGAUUGUCUAUGGCCUCUUCUCCUAGUGUUCCUCACUGACUCCCAUGUCAAUCCUUCCAUCCCAAGCUGUGCUUCCUGAUCCCCUGCUGAGCCCAGCCUGCUGCUUCCCUCCAAGCCCCCUUCAAACAUCUUUUUUGGGCUGCUUCUGGUAACUAGGGCCCUUCUGGGCUAAAAUCCUCCAUCUCCGCCCCCUCGGGCUCUCCGUGCUUCUACCAAGGCUGACUUAAGUGAGUCAGCCUUGGGCUAGGCUGUUCUUCCUUCCGCAGGAGUCUCUGUCUUCCUAUCUCUGCCUUCCUCUGAUCCUCUGUGUCCGCUUCCUCUGUGUCUACCAAGGAGGCUCCCUUGGUAUCUCCCAGUCUCUGUGCCUCCUGCACCUCUUCCUCCUGAUUUCUCUGUAUUUCUCUUUCCCAGGGCUCUGGUCUCCGUCCCAUCAGUUCUUCUGCCCAGCUUCCAUCUCUGUGCACCCCUGACCUCCUGUGGUCUGGUCCAUAGACCGCCAUCUCCCCUCCUGUCUAGCCACAACUCUCUCCUCCCUCUGGUCUCCCUCCUCUAUCGUUGUCUUUGAUUCUCCCUACUCUAACUCCCCAACUUGUUAUGCCUGUCACUUUCCUUCUCUAUCUGUCUCUUUAGUUAAGUCUCUCCUCUCUGUGUCUUCCCCACCUUUGUCUCUCUCCUCUUCCUCCAGCUCUUCCUAUCUCUAUGUCUCUGAUCUGUCUCUUCCCCUUUAUCUCUCGGUCUUUCUUCGAUUUCUCUGACUCUGACUUUGUCUAUCUGCCCCCUCUUCUCCCCCACCCCAAUAUCUCUGUCUCUCCAUCUCUCUGGGCCCUCGCUCCCUCCCUCUCUCUCUCUUCCUCGGCUCUCUCCGGCUCCCUCUCUCGCCUCGGAUGACAGCGCUGCCUCUUUUGU